UGUUCCUCAUAUUGAAAUACUCCAUUUUAAUAUGCUGUAUCAGUCCGGUUGGUGCGUACUGCUGGUGCUUUGUUAGAAAAAUUAAAACGCCACAGCAAGAGCAGCGGCACGCGUAAUUUAGUUUCCGCUAAACGGCAGAGGGCUGCGGCCGGUCAGUGGCCCCGGGAGGAGAGUCUAGGGUGGUGGAGCAGCAGACAGUGUGACGUCACGGCAGCUUCGCCCCGCCGCCAACAGAUGGCACCACCUGCCGCACACCCUACUCAUGACGCGAACAUUUAUCGCCCUCUGAACUUUUUUUUGUUUGCGGUUUUAAAAAAGGCCUUAAAAUUCCUGUUAGAGGGAGUCUUCGGUAAACAUAAAAAAAUAAAUAAAAAAUAUAAACAAUAAUAGUCUCUCGAUAUCUUAUGUAGCUAGGAUGCUCAAGGUGUAUCUCCGACUCAGGCAUGGCAGUUCAUGACGCGAUGCUUAGGGAGGCUGAGUGCGUGGAGAUAUCAUGAAAACUUUAUCGCUUUAUAUAGAGCUUAAUCAGCUGCGGGAGUGAAAUGUGGGUGUGGAUAUAGGCCUAGAAAGCUCCAAGGUCUAAUCCCAGUGUAAAAUCUCCGAGAUGAGAUGUGUGGGGGCGGAAAAUGCAGGAAAGAAACGCCUGCAUGACAGUGCAUGGUGACAAAGAGAUGCCCAGGCGAGGGGCCCUUGCGACGUGAGGCGAGAGAUGCAGCAGCAGCAGCAUCCCUCCCUCCGUCUCGACAAAGAAAUGAAUAAAAGAUACGGUAGCGGCUUACAAACAUCCGGAUAUUAGUCAGCCCAGCGAGGCCGCGCCGAGCAAUCAAGAUGGAAGGAGGAGGACAGCCAGGAGAGGCAAAUCGUGAAAGGGAGGUCUAUUUCAAAGCUGAUUUGGCAGGCCGUCUGGUCACUGGUCGCGAACACAGAGGCUCUUCAGGUCGUGGGGAGGUUGGGGUUCUGGAAGGAGGAGGCACAGGGCGUGUGAGUAUUAGGUUGCUUUCAAUUUGUUUCAUUUUCGUUGCAGCAAAGACGGGUUUCGCUAUUAAUUAGUGUUUCCCUGAAAACACAUGAAUUCAUGAGAUGAAUCAUGCAUUGAG
rnacentral:lncRNA from 1 species